AGUUUAUUUAUGACCUGUCGGUCCACUUGGCUAUGUGCGCGUGUGUGUCUUGGCUAUUCUACGAUUGCCAUUCCACUAUUUCACUAUUACUUCAUGUUUUCGUAACGUGUGCGCCGGGCUGGAGACCUAGACGCGUGUGUCUCGCGAGUAUAUAGCAUUUCGUCCGCUUCUUCCGCGUGUCCAUCCAAGGCCGCAAUGUGCGCUUCAUACUUAAACGCUCUAGUGUUAUGAUACUGGAUGUUGUAAAUGAUUCAUUCGGAAUGUGCUAAAGCUGAACAUUUAGUGGUCUGCGAGGACACCAUCCCCACUCCACAUCGAAUGGAAUGUUCGCUUAUCUUGCAAGGUGUAAAACGAGGUAAACAUGGGAUGAACAACAUUCCAGUGCAAAUCGCAAAGGAAAUUGUAAUAUGUUAAUAGAAAGUAAUGUUAUCUCCCUAUCAUAAAUAAAUGACGUAAAGUGGAGCUGGACGAGAUAAUAAAUAA